rnacentral:miRNA from 12 species
CAGGGGAGAGGGAUUGGUAUGGCUGUAUGUGGGAAGUUUGACAGAGCAUGUGCCAUAGUGUUCAGCUCUGAUCUUGCUUCCAGCAUAGCCCAGCAAAUCUCGUUU